rnacentral:lncRNA from 1 species
UACAUAUAUAUAUAUAUAUAUAUAGAGAGAGAGAGAGAGAGAGAGAGAGAGAGAGAGAGAGAGAGAGAGAGAGUCCCACUAUUAUACUUUUAUGAGUGCGAUCAUCCUCGUACUCAUAAAUCAUUUUCGAUGAUAGAACUUCCGAAUCGACGAUCCAUAACGUUAAAUAUUAUUNAUAUAAAAAUUAUUAUAAUAAUAUAUAUAGUAUAUUAAUUAUUAUAUAUUUAUUAUAUAGCCGAAUUUUUAUUCCAAAUUUUUAAUUGGUGAACGUAUAAUAUCCGUAUAAAUCACGUAUUCGAAUAAUUGUCGAAUCCGUUUUUUACCCGUAUUUUUCAACAAAUUUAAAAAUUUAAAAAUAAAUUUUAUCAGAAUUAUACCCGUACUGAAUUUUUGCCGAAUCAGCCUUUUAGCCGUAUUUUUUAACAAAUUUAAAAAUUAAAAGACGAAUUUUAUCUAAAUUAUAUUCGUACCGAAUUUUUGUCGAAUCCAAAUUAACUAACCAUGCUUUCACUCCUCCCUCCCCACCCACACACAUGCACGUACACACACAUUCUCUCUCUCUCUCUCUCUCUCUCUCUCUCUCCACCCACCACAGCUCGCGCACACGCACACUAUCUCUCUCCAAUAUUUAAUAAUAAUAUUUAAUAGUAUUAUUACUAAAUUAUAAUUUUUUAUUAUUACUUUUAUUAUCACUACUACUGAUAUUUAAUUUGACUAUAUAUCGAUAUUAUUAAAUAUUUAAUAGAACUACACACUUAAAAUAAAAUAUGACUAUGCAUUACGUAAAAGUAAAAAUUAUAUAACUAUAUAUUAGAUAUGAUAUAAAAUUUAUUAUAUUUGAUAUAAAAUUUAACUUAAUUAUACACUUGGUUUGAUAUAAAAGUAAUACGACUAUACAUGACAUAAAAGUAAAAGUGAUAUAAGUACACUUUUGAUAUAAUAUAAAGUUCACUGCACUUAAUAUAAAUUUUGACUUAACUACACACUUAAUUUGAUUGUAGAACUGAUAUGAUUAUAUUUGACAUAAAGUUGAUUAUAUUUGACAAAUAAAGUUCACUGCAUUUAAUAUAAAUUUUGACUUAACUACACACUUGAUUUGAUUAUAGAACUGACAUGACUAUAUUUGACAUAAAGUUAAUUAUAUUUGACAUAACAUUUAACUUGACUACACACUUGACACUGCAUAAAAAUAAUAUGACUAUACAUUAUUAUAAAAAUAAUUUGACUACAUUAGAUAUGAUAUAAAGUUGACUAUAUUUGAUAUAAAAUUUGACUUGACUACACACUUAAUUUGAUUAUAGCACUGACAUGACUAUAUAUAAUAUAAAGUUGAUUAUAUUUGACAUAACAUUUGAUUUGACUACAUGACAUGAUAUAAAAAUAAUAUGACUAUACAUUAUAUAAAAAUAAAAGAGAUAUAACUAUACAUUAAAUAUGAUAUAAAGUUGAUUAUACUUGAUAUAAAAUUUGACUUAACCACACAUUUGAUUUGACUAUAUUUGACAUAAAGUUGAUUAUAUUUGACAUAACAUUUGACUUGACUACACUCUUGACAUUGCAUAAAAAUAAUAUGACUAUGCAUUAUUAUAAAAAUAAUAUGGCUACAUUAGAUA